UACGUAGGGUGCGAGCGUUAAUCGGAAUUACUGGGCGUAAAGCGUGCGCAGGCGGUUCGUGAUGUCUGGUGUGAAAGCCCCGGGCUUAACCUGGGAAUUGCAUUGGAAACUAGCGGGCUGGAGUGUGGCAGAGGGGGGGUGGAAUUCCACGUGUAGCAGUGAAAUGCGUAGAGAUGUGGAGGAACACCGAUGGCGAAGGCAGCCCCCUGGGUCAAAACUGACGCUCAUGCACGAAAGCGUGGGGAGCAAACAGG
rnacentral:rRNA from 1 species